rnacentral:rRNA from 1 species
UUUAAGUCUCCUGAAGGAACGUUGAAGACGACGACGUUGAUAGGCCGGGUGUGUAAGCGCAGCGAUGCGUUGAGCUAACCGGUACUAAUGAACCGUGAGGCUUAACCUUA